AUGCUUGCUUCAGCAGCACAUAUACUAAAAUUGGAAUGAUGCCACGAUUUUCAUGGCUCCUGCUCAAGGAUGACAUCCAAAUUCGUGAAGCAUUCCAUCUUUUU
ensembl:snRNA U6 U6 spliceosomal RNA